rnacentral:rRNA from 1 species
UACGGAGGGAGCUAGCGUUGUUCGGAAUUACUGGGCGUAAAGCGCGUGUAGGCGGCCAGAUAGGUCUGCUGUGAAAACUCGAGGCUCAACCUCGAGCUGUCGGCGGAAACCAUCUGGCUAGAGUCCGGAAGAGGAGAGUGGAAUUCCUGGUGUAGCGGUGAAAUGCGCAGAUAUCAGGAAGAACACCCGUGGCGAAGGCGGCUCUCUGGGACGUGACUGACGCUGAGACGCGAAAGCGUGGGGAGCAAACAGG